rnacentral:rRNA from 1 species
UUCCGGUUGAUCCUGCCGGACCUGACUGCUAUCGGAUUGAUACUAAGCCAUGCGAGUCUUUGCAGUAAUGCAAGGCAGACGGCUCAGUAACACGUAGUCAACCUACCCUAUGGACAAGAAUAAUCUCGGGAAACUGGGCAUAAUUCUUGAUAGAUCAUAAUGCCUGGAAUGGUUUAUGGUUAAAAUGAUUCGUCGCCAUAGGAUGGGACUGCGGCCUAUCAGCUUGUUGGUGAGGUAAUGGCCCACCAAGGCGAUUACAGGUACGGGCUCUGAGAGGAGAAGCCCGGAGAUGGGUACUGAGACACGGACCCAGGCCCUAUGGGGCGCAGCAGGCGAGAAAACUUUGCAAUGUGCGAAAGCACGACAAGGUUAAUCCGAGUGAUUUCUGCUAAAGAAAUCUUUUGCCAGUCAUAAAACCACUGGUGAAUAAGGGGUGGGCAAGUUCUGGUGUCAGCCGCCGCGGUAAAACCAGCACCUCAAGUGGUCAGGAUGAUUAUUGGGCCUAAAGCAUCCGUAGCCGGCUUUGUUAGUUUUCGGUUAAAUCCAUGUGCUCAACGCAUGGGCUGCCGAAAAUACUGCAUGGCUAGGGAGUGGGAGAGGUAGACGGUACUCAGUAGGAAGGGGUAAAAUCCUUUGAUCUAUUGAUGACCACCUGUGGCGAAGGCGGUCUACCAGAACACGUUCGACGGUGAGGGAUGAAAGCUGGGGGAGCAAACCGGAUUAGAUACCCGGGUAGUCCCAGCUGUAAACGAUGCAGACUCGAUGAUGCAUUGGCAUAAUAGCCAGUGCAGUGUCGCAGGGAAGCCGUUAAGUCUGCCGCCUGGGAAGUACGUACGCAAGUAUGAAACUUAAAGGAAUUGGCGGGGGAGCACCACAAGGGGUGAAGCCUGCGGUUCAAUUGGAGUCAACGCCGG